GGAGUCGGGCGGAUAGGAGGGGUCGGGCGAGGCGGACUGGGGUCGGCAACUCACCUUCUUCCUGAAAGGAAAGCUUGGGGUCGGAAAGAAGCGGACUUUGGGCGGAGGGACUACGGUUUGAACAGAAGCUAAGACCGGCAAUGCUCCGGCGGUGGCGCUGCUUCUUGCGGAUCACAAGAGAGCUUUUACGCAGCACGGAGGAGUAAGCUGCUGGGUGACUUGGAGAAAACUGAGAGAGA
rnacentral:lncRNA from 1 species